CAAGACACCACAACAACAAUGAACAACAUCAUCAUCCUCAUCUGGACACUGACUCUCUGCUUAUGUAUUAGAGGUUUCAGUGGGCAGGUGACUGUGACUCAGACUCCAUCUGUUAAAACAGUUCAGAUCGGUGGUACAGUCACUAUAAACUGCAAAACUAACACAGCAGUGUAUAAUGGCUGUACAGGUUCAUAUACUUGUAUGGCCUGGUAUCAGCAGAAACCUGGAGAAGCUCCUAAACGCUUGAUUUAUUCAGCAAACCAAAGAGAGUCAAACACUCCAUCUAGAUUCAGUGGCAGUGGAUCUAACAGUGAUUUCACUCUGACCAUCAGUGGAGUCCAGACUGAAGAUACAGGAGAUUAUUACUGUCAAAGUUUUCACUACCCAAACAGUAAACAUGUGUUCACACAGUGAUAAAGAGUCGUACAAAAACCUCCGUCAGUCAGAGUCACAGUGACUGCACUGAUACAGCUGAGAGAUACUGCAGCUGCUGAUGAACACAAUCACACACAACACUGAUCAACACAAACACUAAUAACAUGAUUGCAUUACCAAUCAGAAUCUUGUAUUCCUGAAAAGAAUGAAUCUGUGUUCUAACUAGUGUAUAUUCAUGCAUAGCUAUGUCAUAUGAUAAAAAUAAUGCUUGUUUUGCU